rnacentral:lncRNA from 1 species
AUGCCCCCCAAAGUCCCACUCCUAGAGAUCCAGGCCAGAGGCCCCCUCCUCCCCAAGGUCUUCUUGCAGCCAGCCCGCGAUGCCGUUUCCACCGUGUGUUUAUCUUGCACCCAUGGCGUUUCCCACACCUGCGUCAGUUACUGGUGUCCGGGGAAUAAUCUCUUCCGCUCGGUAGGGAGGGCCGCUUCUCGUUUGUCUCUACACCUCCAGCUCCUGGCAGAGCUCCUGGCCCCUGCAUCUCCCUCACAGUGCACUUCCCUCACCUGCCUCAUGUUCCCCUUUCCACUCUGUUCCUCAGCUUCCUUGCUUUAGAUCUCAGGCCUCCUUUCCCCUUUAUGGAUUUGCCUUGCCCUUAAGCCUAACCCUAUUGCUGUAUCUCCACCUGAGCAUCCAAGUCUCCCAUCUAGACCUCCAGCUGGUACUGCUCUCCACAGCUCUAGGUGAAUGAAUUGCCUAAGGUAGUAUAACCCCAGGAACUAUAUACACUGCAACUCUCUCGGUUCACCUGGCCCUUGGGUAGAACGAGAACACAAAGCCUCCCAUGGGUGUCCAUAUCUAAUGGCCCCUAGAUGGAUGCACUAUUGGAUGCAUUUGAAGCUCCAGGGAAAACAAAGACUUUGAUCUUUGAUUCUUCCUUUCUGCUAUAAUCUAAAUCAAUAAUGCAAUUGAAGAUAAUGUAGAGCAGUACCAGGAAAUCCUUUUUCAUUUUAUGUUGAGCUUGGCUUAUGAAGAAAUAACAUAGCAACUGUUUUUGUUUUUUUUUUUUUUUGUCUUUCUUUUCUUUUUCUGCCUUUGUUAGCAACUAAACUCAGAAUGACUUUUUUUUUUUUUUUUUUUUCUCCUGGUUUCAUGUAGAGAUUUGAAAACUUUUUGUUUUGGUCUCUGCAAAAUUGCAUUGUAUCUUUGGGGAGAAAGUCUCUCUCCUGCCUUACAGAAUAAAGUUUCAGGAUAAAAGUCAUCACCUUUGUCACUCGACAAACUAAAAUGUGAAGCUUUGACAGAUGACAAAUGGAUUGUGAUUAGGGGAAUUAUUUAAGCCAUGAAGGCCAAAUUUCAAGGGUAAAAAUUUUUCAGUUUACAGGCUUAAAGCUAAAAUAAAUUUUCCAUUGCUUUUCAGAACACAUCUCUUGUUCUCCCAGCCCAGAGAGGCAAUGUUUUACAGAAAUGGUAUUCUUACCACUUUUUCGUUAAUAGGGUACUGUUUGACAAGAACUGAGCCAGAAGGAAACUGAAAUCACUCCGUGCAAAGAACUCAUUGUCCCAUUGGAGAAACCAAGGUUCAGAGAGGGUUGCUGCUGGGCAAAGAUUAACGAAAGAGCCACAUGGCACCCUGUGCCCGGAGACUGACUCAGUCCAUUGUCUUCCCUUCUGUUGCCUUUCUGCUGGUUCCAUAUAAUUCUCAGACAUGUGGCAGUGGGCAGUUGCCCCCAACCAGCUGCACCCAGAGCUUUGUGUGAGUGUGUUGAAGGAGAAGGACUGCUCAUAAGAAACACUUAAAAUAAUUGAAUUAUUAGUGGUAAAGACAAGAUCCAACAGCUGCAGCUGCUACUGACGGCUCAUCAUUCUCGCAUCCUUAGUGACAUCUCAUUUAUCAAACAGCAUGAUAGGAUGAUAACUUCACAGACUGAAAAGUGCUGACUUUAUUUUACAGUGUCUGAAAAAAAAAAGGCCUUUUUCUUUUGGGGAAAAAAAGUCAAAAUGAAAUACACGUUUUCAUAAAGUUUCAUUCCUCCCUUUAAAAUUCUCUUCUUUUUGUAUUACAUAAAAUAUGGAAGGGUCCAACUGCAA